GCUAAACCAUGUUAUUAAAGCAUCAAAGAAAAUGUAUUAUGAAGAACAAUUAAUAAAAUAUAAGCAUGAUACUAAAAUGAUUUGAAAACACUAAAUAAUAUUCUGAACAAAAAAACAAAGAAAACAAAUUUACCAAAGCAGUUUGCUGAUAAUACGUCAUCUAGCACUAUAGAUGACCCUAUAAAAAUUGCAAACAAAUUUAAUGACUAUUUUGUAAAUAUAGGACCAAAUCUAGCUAAGAAAAUUAAUAACACUAAUAUAACAUUUGAUAAAUACCUCACAAACAGCAUCCCUAACAGCUUAUUUCUGGAUCCAGUUACAGAAUAUGAAGUAAGAAGUGAAAUAGAAAAACUAAACACAACCAAAAGUCCUGGACAUGAUGGUCUUAGUGCAAAAAUAAUAAAACUUGUGACAAAUGAAAUCUCUAAACCAAUUGCACAAAUAUUUAAUCAAACAUUCCUAACUGGUAAUAUUCCCCUUGAACUCAAAAUAGCGUUGGUAACGCCGAUUUAUAAGUCAAAUGAAGAGAACAAAUUUGAAAACUAUAGACCAAUUUCAGUUAUCACUUGUUUUGCAAAAAUACUAGAGAAAAUUAUGUAUAAACGUCUCAUCAAUUUUGUCGAAAAAAAUAAUAUUCUAUCAGAACACCAGUAUGGAUUUCGCAAAAAUAGAUCAACUGAACUCGCUAUAAUUGAAUUUAUUGAUAAAAUAACAAAAGCAAUUGACAAAGGACAAUAUACAAUUGGUAUUUUCCUUGACUUGUCAAAAGCAUUUGAUACUAUUAAUCAUAGCAUCCUGAUUAAAAAAUUAGAAUACUAUGGAAUUAGAGGUGUUGCUCUUAAAUGGUUUGAGAACUAUCUAGCCAAUAGAAAACAAAUUGUUAAGUAUAAUGACACUAAGUCUGAAGCAAUGACAAUAACUAGUGGUGUUCCUCAAGGCUCAAUUUUGGGGCCAAUAUUAUUUUUAUUGUACAUAAAUGAUAUCCAAAAUUGCAGCAAACUAGUUUCCAAAAUAUUGUUUGCAGAUGACACAAAUAUUUUCCAUAGCCAUUCUUGCUUAAAAGAGUUAAAUUUAAUCAUGCAAGACGAAAUAAAUAAAAUAGCAGAUUGGAUUAGCAGUAAUAAACUAUCACUAAACACAACUAAAACAAAAUUUAUUUUAUUUAAAUCAUCAAACAAAAGGAUUAAACAUAAUACAAUAAUAUCGAUAAAUGGACAACCAAUAAAACAAGUUAAGAAUACAACUUUCCUUGGUGUUGUUAUUGAUGAACACUUAACAUGGAAUGAUCAUAUUGAUUUAAUUACGAAAAAAGUUAUAAAAGCUACAGGAAUAAUAUCCAAAAUUCGACAUUUCACAAAUUUUAAUACUCUUAAACUAGUCUAUUAUGCUUUAGUUUAUCCUUAUUUAAUAUACGGAAAUUUGAUUUGGGGAAACACAUAUAAAAAACGACUACAAAAAUUAAUAAACAUUCAAAAAAAAAUAAUACGAUUAAUGAUGUUCAAGUCAUAUUCUGAGCAUUCUGAACCACUAUUCAAUGAAGCAAAGAUUCUUAACAUUGAAAAAAUUAAUGACUUUCUGAUCAGUUUAUUCAUGUUUCGAUAUCACUACUUGGAUAAUUUACCAAAAUACUUUACCAAUUACUAUGUUACUAACAACAAAAUACAUGAACACAAUACAAGAAACGCAUCCAAACUUCAUAAAUCAUGCUCCAGAACUAAUUUUGUCAAACAUUCACUUCAAAAUAAGGGUGUAAAUAUCUGGAAUGAGUUAAAUACUGACUUAAAAAAUUUAAAAUCCUAUUGCAC